UUAGAGUUUGAUCCUGGCUCAGAGUGAACGCUGGCGGCGUGCCUAAGACAUGCAAGUCGUACGAGAAAGGGGCUUCGGCCCUGAGUAAAGUGGCGCAAGGGUGAGUAAUAGUUAGGUAACGUACCGUCUCGCUGGGGAUAACUAGGGGAAACCUUAGCUAAUACCGAAUAGUCUGCUGAGGCGAAUGCCGAUGCAGUAAAGCCAUUAGGCGCGGGACGAUCGGCCUAACUCCUAUCAGCUAGUUGGUAGGGUAACGGCCUACCAAGGCUAUGACGGGUAGCUGGUCUGAGAGGAUGGUCAGCCACACUGGCACUGAGACACGGGCCAGACUCCUACGGGAGGCAGCAGUUAGGAAUCUUGCGCAAUGGGCGAAAGCCUGACGCAGCGACGCCGCGUGAGGGAAGAAGGCCUUCGGGCUGUAAACCUCUUUCGGCAGGGAACACUAAAGAUAGUACCUGCAGAAGAAGCCCCGGCUAACUACGUGCCAGCAGCCGCGGUAAAACGUAGGGGGCGAGCGUUACUCGGAAUGACUGGGCGUAAAGGGUGUGUAGGCGGCUUCCUAAGUCCGAUGUGAAAGCCCUAGACUCAAUCUAGGAACUGCAUCGGAUACUGGGUUGCUAGAGUGCCAGAGGGGGGAACGGAAUUCCCGGUGUAGAGGUGAAAUUCGUAGAUAUCGGGAGGAACACCGAAGGCGAAGGCGGUUCCCUGGCUGGUUACUGACGCUUAGACACGAAAGCGUGGGGGAGCAAACAGGAUUAGAUACCCCUGGUAGUCCACGCCCUAAACGAUCACCACUAGAUGUCGGGCUACUUUNNUCGGCUCGGUGUCGAAGCUAACGCNUUAGUGGUGCGCCUGGGGAUUACGGGCCGCAAGG
rnacentral:rRNA from 1 species